UUGCUGAGCAUCACUGAACACCAGAUAAGUUGCAUGGAGAAUCUUCUUCCAGGAGAGUUGUGAUGAUGUGGAAUGGGAAUGCCUUAAAGAUACGGUGCAGAGAACACAUCUUUGCUCACUGCCUCAAACUGCCCAGCUCUUAGAAUGGUUCGCAACUGCCUCCUGGAUGUGGUGCCUCCUACUGGGCUUCUCAGGAAACAGAAGUUAUUAAAAAGUGGCAAAAGCGUUUGGAAUCUGCAAGUGCUAAGGAGGAGGCACAUGCCAUUGGCACCAUGCUGUAGUCUCUUCAUUCCCAACCAAUGGAAGGAGUAUGGGAUCUUGUUGACUCUAUGAGAUAGCUGGAAUGGACUAUGUUGAGAAGGAGGAAAGAUCCAAUCCCUGGAGGUUUAUCAGAGAGAAAAUGGAAACCUAUUUUUUGGAGAGGCUGAAGAUGGAAUUCUUCCACUUCCACUUCCACAAUCAACCACUGAUUGUUUUACAUGGCUUGUAGGCUCCCUUCUAACUCUGAGAACCUUUGAUGCUAUGUCAUGUAUACCUAAUUAUCCAGGGCACAUUUACUUUGGGUAAGGGUGAAGGAAAUAAAUUAUUUGGAUGAGAUAAUCCCCCUUCUAUC
rnacentral:lncRNA from 1 species